GAUGAACGCUGGCGGCGUGCCUAAUACAUGCAAGUCGAGCGAACAGACGAGGAGCUUGCUCCUCUGACGUUAGCGGCGGACGGGUGAGUAACACGUGGAUAACCUACCUAUAAGACUGGGAUAACUUCGGGAAACCGGAGCUAAUACCGGAUAAUAUAUUGAACCGCAUGGUUCAAUAGUUAAAGACGGUUUUGCUGUCACUUAUAGAUGGAUCCGCGCCGCAUUAGCUAGUUGGUAAGGUAACGGCUUACCAAGGCAACGAUGCGUAGCCGACCUGAGAGGGUGAUCGGCCACACUGGAACUGAGACACGGUCCAGACUCCUACGGGAGGCAGCAGUAGGGAAUCUUCCGCAAUGGGCGAAAGCCUGACGGAGCAACGCCGCGUGAGUGAUGAACGUCUUCGGAUCGUAAAACUCUGUUAUUAGGGAAGAACAAAUGUGUAAGUAACUAUGCACGUCUUGACGGUACCUAAUCAGAAAGCCACGGCUAACUACGUG
rnacentral:rRNA from 1 species